rnacentral:rRNA from 1 species
UACGUAGGGGCAAGCGUUGUCCGGAAUCAUUGGGCGUAAAGCGCGUGUAGGCGGCUUGGUAAGUCCGCUCUGAAAGCCCGGGGCUCAACCCCGGGAGGCGGGUGGAUACUGUCAAGCUCGAGUCCGGAAGAGGCGAGUGGAAUUCCUGGUGUAGCGGUGAAAUGCGCAGAUAUCAGGAGGAACACCAAUGGCGAAGGCAGCUCGCUGGGACGUGACUGACGCUGAGACGCGAAAGCGUGGGGAGCGAACAGG